AAUUACUGGGAGGGGGCAAAUAACAAUGUCUUGGUGUGUCUGCCAAAGCAAUGAUUUUUAAAAAUCACUUUCUCAGAACCACCAAAUAGGAAAGAGAGAAGCCAUGGAAGUCAUCUCAUCUCUCUCUUCAUCCUUUGCAAGUGUUUAGCAGAGUAUGUGCCAAGGGUACAGAUCCCAAAUCUUGAUAGACACUCCAGAUAUCAAGCAUUGACAAAAUUCUGUAACAGGUAAUGUGUGGUUUGCUAAUAACUUCAAAAGAAUGGAAUAAUUACUGCAAAUAAUAAUGUAUUAAUUUCAUUUUCAUUUUCCUUAGUAGUACCAG
ensembl:lncRNA